UUCCGUAGGUGAACCUGCGGAAGGAUCAUUCACACGAAUUAUCCAAAUCCACGUGCAUCUUUGAGUGAGGGUCGCGGAAGGGCUGGCAACGGUCGUCUGUGUUCUCUUCGAGGCUGGUCUGGGGUGGAUUAGGGCUUCGCGCUCCUUUUCUGCUCUGGCCAGCACCCAACCAUUUCACACCUUUGUUCUUAUAGUUUCGCUGGUGCUUUUGGGCACCAACAUUACACUUACAACUUUUAGCGAUGGAUGCCUCGGCUCGAACAACGAUGAAGGGCGCAGCGAAAUGCGAUAAGCACUGUGAAUUGCAGAAUUCCGUGAAUCAAUAGAACCCUGAACGCAUCCUGCACUUUCGGGAUAUCCCUGAAAGUAUGUCUGCUUCAGAGUCUCCACUGUAUCCUGCAGCAUUGGCCUUGAGCUGGGCUGCGUUUUUGCGUGUCAGAGCGCGUCCCUGCCUCUCUUUGAGGUUGGUGGCCGCUUUGACGCGUUCAAUACAUCCGACCUGCCUUGAGAGCGCCAACUUGGUGAUCACCCUUGCUGGUGUUUCAUCAUCUUUGUUCGCCUCGAGCUGGGGUCGCUCCUCUCAUCUUGCUGUCCUCGCGGCAGAGGACCAAGACAUGAAGUUAGGCAAGGUUACCCGCUGAUUAUAAGGCAUAUCAAUAAG
rnacentral:rRNA from 1 species